rnacentral:rRNA from 1 species
UUUAGUACCCUGGUAGUCCACGCCCUAAACGAUGUCAACUAGCUGUUGGGGCCUUCGGGCCUUGGUAGCGCAGCUAACGCGUGAAGUUGACCGCCUGGGGAGUACGGUCGCAAGAUUAAAACUCAAAGGAAUUGACGGGGACCCGCACAAGCGGUGGAUGAUGUGGAUUAAUUCGAUGCAACGCGAAAAACCUUACCUACCCUUGACAUGUCUGGAAUGCCGAAGAGAUUUGGCAGUGCUCGCAAGAGAACCGGAACACAGGUGCUGCAUGGCUGUCGUCAGCUCGUGUCGUGAGAUGUUGGGUUAAGUCCCGCAACGAGCGCAACCCUUGUCAUUAGUUGCUACG